CCGGUCCCAGUUCGGAUUGUAGGCUGCAACUCGCCUACAUGAAGUCGGAGUUGCUAGUAAUCGCGGAUCAGAAUGCCGCGGUGAAUACGUUCCCGGGCCUUGUACACACCGCCCGUCAAGCCAUGGAAGCCGGGGGUGCCUGAAGUGCGCUGCCGCAAGGAGCGCCCUAGGGUAAAACCGGUNACUGGGGCUAAGUCGUAACAAGGUACC
rnacentral:rRNA from 1 species